AGAACAUUGUUUCUGACGGCUUUGAUUUAAUGGCCAAAAACAGUUAUAGGAAACUGACUGGAAGCUCUUGGAGGCUGAGGACUCUUAUUGUCUCCACUUAACACUUGUCAGAGCAACUGUAAGCACAAGGGCCAAUACCAAGACCAAGACACCUGAGAACGAAAGACUAUGGAGAAGACUGCCAGAGGCGCUGAGCAGUGAUGUUUUAAAAACAUGAACGACAGCAAUGAAUGAAGUGACCCCCAUUAUCUGUGGUUUUGCUUUCCAUAAGUUCAGUUACUUAUGGUCAACCACAGUCUGAAGAUAUAAAUGGAAAAAGUCCAGAAAUAAAAUUUUUUAAA